rnacentral:rRNA from 1 species
GACGAACGCUGGCGGCGUGCUUAACACAUGCAAGUCGAACGGAAAGGCCCUGCUUGCAGGGUACUCGAGUGGCGAACGGGUGAGUAACACGUGGGUGAUCUGCCCUGCACUUCGGGAUAAGCCUGGGACACUGGGUCUAAUACCGGAUAGGAGCCAUCUUUAGUGUGAUGGUUGGAAAGUUUUUUCGGUGUAGGAUGACCUCGCGGCCUAUCAGCUUGUUGGUGGGGUAAUGGCCUACCAAGGCGGCGACGGGUAGCCGGCCUGAGAGGGCGACCGGCCACAUUGGGACGGGAAUACGGCCAGGAUCCUUCCGGGGGGAGGAGGGGGGAAUAAUGCAAAAUGGGGGGGAGGCUGGUGGAAGGAAGGCGCGUGGGGGGAGACCGGCUUCGGGUUGGAAAACCGUUUCGAGAGGGACGAAGCUUUUUGGGACGGUAACUAGAUGAGAAGCAACGGCUAACUACGGG